GAUUAACGCUAGCGGCAGGCCUAAUACAUGCAAGUCGAACGGCAGCACGGGUAGCAAUACCUGGUGGCGAGUGGCGCACGGGUGCGUAACACGUAUGCAAUCUUCCUUUAACUGGGGAACAACCCCUCGAAGAGGGGCUAACACCGCAUAACAUCAAGAAGCGACAUCACUUUUUGUAUCAAACCUACCGGGGGUUAAAGGAAUGAGCAUGCGUUCGAUUAGCUAGUUGGCGGGGUAAAAGGACCCACCAAGGCAACGAUCGAUAGGGGGUCGUGAGAGGAUGA
rnacentral:rRNA from 1 species